GAUGAAGAACGUAGCGAAAUGCGAUAAGUAAUGUGAAUUGCAGAAUUCCGUGAAUCAUCGAAUCUUUGAACGCACAUUGCGCCCCCUGGUAUUCCGGGGGGCAUGCCUGUCCGAGCGUCAUUGCAACCUUCAAGCGCGGCUUGUGUGUUGGGUCUCGUCCCCCGUGGACGGGCCCGAAAGGCAGUGGCGGCGUCCCGACAUGGUGCCCGAGCGUAUGGGAAUCCUCUUCCGCUCGAAUCGGCCCAUGCGGCGCUGGUCGUAACCAAAUUUUUUACCGGUUGACCUCGGAUCAGGUAGGGAUACCCGCUGAACUUAAGCAUAUCAAUAAGCGGAGAA
rnacentral:misc_RNA from 1 species